AAGGAAAGCUCAAGGUUCAGCUACCUGUCUUGAUGUAUAUAUUGGGAUUGACACCCAUGUUAAUUCUGGAAAUCAACAGCUGAUUAAAAAUAAUGAAAAUGAAAUAGAAAAUCUUAAUGUUUCAUUAGGUUUCACAAAAUGUUUGAUUAUUUUUUCUGAUGAGUUAACUAAAGUAGAUGCAGUCUUGCAGCUUGGUUAUUCUCCUUCACUUGUUAUUAUUAUACAAGAUGGAACCAAACCAAAACACCCCCAAGGAACACAUUUUAAACAUUCAACUUUUUAGAUUUUAUGUACAAUUGUUAUUUCUAAUAGA